rnacentral:rRNA from 1 species
UACGUAGGGGGCAAGCGUUAUCCGGAAUUACUGGGUGUAAAGGGAGCGUAGACGGCUGUGCAAGUCUGGAGUGAAAGGCGGGGGCUCAACUCCUGGACUGCAUUGGAAACUGUAGAUCUUGAGUGCCGGAGAGGUAAGCGGAAUUCCUAGUGUAGCGGUGAAAUGCGUAGAUAUUAGGAGGAACACCAGUGGCGAAGGCAGCUUACCAGUCUGCGACUGACGCUCAGGCACGAAAGUGUGGGUAUCGAACAGG